GGGGCUGUAGCUCAGCUGGGAGAGCGUCUGGAUCGCACCCAGGAGGUCAGGGGUUCGAGCCCCCUCAGCUCCA
rnacentral:tRNA from 1 species